UGCGUAGGCGGCGUCAUAAGUCAGGGGUGAAAGCCCACAGCUCAACUGUGGAAUUGCCUUUGAUACUGUGGUGCUUGAAUCAGGUUGAGGUAGGCGGAAUGUGGCAUGUAGCGGUGAAAUGCUUAGAUAUGCCAUAGAACACCGAUUGCGAAGGCAGCUUACUGGACCUGUAUUGACGCUGAGGCACGAAAGCGUGGGGAGCGAACAGGAUUAGAUACCCUGGUAGUCC
rnacentral:rRNA from 1 species